rnacentral:misc_RNA from 1 species
GAUGAAGAACGUAGCGAAAUGCGAUACGUAAUGUGAAUUGCAAAUUCAGUGAAUCAUCGAGUCUUUGAACGCACAUUGCGCCCCCUGAUAUUCCGGGGGGCAUGCCUGUCCGAGCGUCAUUGCUGCCCUCAAGCACGGCUUGUGUGUUGGGCCCCGUCCUCCGAUCCCGGGGGACGGGCCCGAAAGGCAGCGGCGGCACCGCGUCCGGUCCUCGAGCGUAUGGGGCUUUGUCACCCGCUCUGUAGGCCCGGCCGGCGCUUGCCGAUCAACCCAAAUUUUUAUCCAGGUUGACCUCGGAUCAGGUAGGGAUACCCGCUGAACUUAAGCAUAUCAAUAAGCGGAGGA